GCCGGGCAUGGUGGUGUGUGCCUGUAAUCCCAGCUACUGGGGAGGCUGAGGCAGGAGAAUCACUUGAACCUGGGAGUCAGAGGUUGCAGUGAGCCAAGAUUGUGCCACUGCACUCCAGCCUGGGCAACAGAGUGAGAUUCUGUCUCGA
ensembl:misc_RNA Metazoa_SRP Metazoan signal recognition particle RNA